rnacentral:miRNA from 2 species
AUCAACACUUCUUGUUUCUCUCU